CGAGUGGCGAACGGGUGAGUAAUAUAUCGGAACGUACCCUGGAGUGGGGGAUAACGUAGCGAAAGUUACGCUAAUACCGCAUACGAUCUAAGGAUGAAAGUGGGGGAUCGCAAGACCUCAUGCUCGUGGAGCGGCCGAUAUCUGAUUAGCUAGUUGGUAGGGUAAAAGCCUACCAAGGCAUCGAUCAGUAGCUGGUCUGAGAGGACGACCAGCCACACUGGAACUGAGACACGGUCCAGACUCCUACGGGAGGCAGCAGUGGGGAAUUUUGGACAAUGGGCGCAAGCCUGAUCCAGCCAUGCCGCGUGAGUGAUGAAGGCCUUAGGGUUGUAAAGCUCUUUCACCGGAGAAGAUAAUGACGGUAUCCGGAGAAGAAGCCCCGGCUAACUUCGUGCCAGCAGCCGCGGUAAUACGAAGGGGGCUAGCGUUGUUCGGAAUUACUGGGCGUAAAGCGCACGUAGGCGGAUAUUUAAGUCAGGGGUGAAAUCCCGGGGCUCAACCUCGGAAUUGCCUUUGAUACUGGGUGUCUUGAGUAUGAGAGAGGUGUGUGGAACUCCGAGUGUAGAGGUGAAAUUCGUAGAUAUUCGGAAGAACACCAGUGGCGAAGGCGACACACUGGCUCAUUACUGACGCUGAGGCUCGAAAGCGUGGGGAGCAAACAGGAUUAGAUACCCUGGUAGUCCACGCCGUAAACGAUGAUUGCUAGUUGUCGGGAUGCAUGCAUUUCGGUGACGCAGCUAACGC
rnacentral:rRNA from 1 species